UUCCCCCAGAGAUGUCUGAGAUUACGCUCCUCCCUCCUUCCACAGCCAGCUUCUCAAGGAGAUCUACCCCCUCCCCCUUACCUGCUCAAGGCAAGGUUAGCAGGAGAGCAAGUCCCAGCUACCGUUCCCACAUGGCCUUUGCCACGUCUGCAACCAGCUACCCAGCUUCCCAGUCCCCGUCACCCCCCAUGGAAAGCAGCAACAUUUUUGGGCAGAUGCCAUCUCAGAGGAGGACUGAGGAGGGGAUCCUUCCAUCUGAGCCCUCUCCAGCCCAGUUGUCAGCUUCAGGCUAUCUGGGCAGCGUUGUUGUGACCAGGUCCUCUACACCACAAUAGAAAACAUCGAGGUGCGCCGAGUGCCCUUUCGGGGUCUGAGAGGAUUGAUGCACUGAGA